rnacentral:misc_RNA from 1 species
CAUUGAUGUUAUAUUUGGAAACAUAAAUGAUUUUUUGGACAUAAGCAGUUUCUUUAAACGUCAAGGAAUAAGGAAUUAAAAAUCCAAAUGAAAGCCAAGUGUUUUGUAAACCCAUGCUUUAGCAAUUACAAUUUUACGAAUCCAAUGAUUAUGUUUUCAUUUGUGUUCAUGAAUUUCAAUUAUGGUUAAAUCAACCUUAGUUUUGCAUACCAAUUCUUAGGUGUGUAGUUUUUUACAGCAUAUACAUAAUGUUACAAACUAUUGAGUACUAUAUUAUUUAUAUGUAUAUAGAAUCAAGCACUUGCGCUUGAAUCGAAAAUAUGGGUCAACUUUCAAGCUUAAGAUAACUAUCAUUUGUACGCAUUGCCUAAAAUAAAAUAAAUAAAAUUAGGUUUAUGGUU